UACGAAGGGGGCUAGCGUUGUUCGGAAUCACUGGGCGUAAAGCGCACGUAGGCGGAUCUUUAAGUCAGGGGUGAAAUCCCGAGGCUCAACCUCGGAACUGCCUUUGAUACUGGGGAUCUCGAGUCCGGGAGAGGUGAGUGGAACUGCGAGUGUAGAGGUGAAAUUCGUAGAUAUUCGCAAGAACACCAGUGGCGAAGGCGGCUCGCUGGCCCGGUACUGACGCUGAGGUACGAAAGCGUGGGGAGCAAACAGG
rnacentral:rRNA from 1 species